rnacentral:rRNA from 1 species
AGUGAACGCUGGCGGUAGGCCUAACACAUGCAAGUCGAACGGCAGCACAGUAAGAGCUUGCUCUUACGGGUGGCGAGUGGCGGACGGGUGAGGAAUACAUCGGAAUCUAUUUUUUCGUGGGGGAUAACGUAGGGAAACUUACGCUAAUACCGCAUACGACCUACGGGUGAAAGCAGGGGAUCUUCGGACCUUGCGCGAUUGAAUGAGCCGAUGUCGGAUUAGCUAGUUGGCGGGGUAAAGGCCCACCAAGGCGACGAUCCGUAGCUGGUCUGAGAGGAUGAUCAGCCACACUGGAACUGAGACACGGUCCAGACUCCUACGGGAGGCAGCAGUGGGGAAUAUUGGACAAUGGGCGCAAGCCUGAUCCAGCCAUACCGCGUGGGUGAAGAAGGCCUUCGGGUUGUAAAGCCCUUUUGUUGGGAAAGAAAGGCAGCAGGUUAAUACCCCGCUGUUCUGACGGUACCCAAAGAAUAAGCACCGGCUAACUUCGUG